rnacentral:ribozyme from 1 species
GAAAAAAAAGAGAGAUCAAAAAAGGGGAAAAAGUGCAAAGUUAGAGCGCUUCUACAAGUCAUCUUUGUAAUUCAAGUCCGCUCCCUCUCUCUUUUUCUCUUU